CCCUUAGAUGUUCUGGGCCGCACGCGCGCUACACUGACGAAGUCAGCGAGCAUGUCCUACGCCGACAGGUGCGGGGAAUCUUGUCAAACUUCGUCGUGAUGGGGAUUGAUUAUUGAAAUUCUUGAUCAUCAACGAGGAAUUCCUAGUAAGCGCAAGUCAGCAGCUUGCGUUGAUUACGUCCCUGCCCUUUGUACACACCGCCCGUCGCUACUAACGAUUGAAUGGUUUAGUGAGAUCUUCGGAUUGGCGCCACUGCGGCUCAGCAAUGGGCUCGGUGGAUGCCGAAAAGUUGAUCAAACUUGAUCAUUUAGAGGAAGUAAAAGUCGUAACA
rnacentral:rRNA from 1 species